GGUCCCCUGUCCUCAGUUCCAUGGAAAACUGUUAGUUUUAUCAUUACUACAGUUGUAAUCUCUCAAAAACACAUUAUUUGUGUUUGAUUUCUUUUUCAAUAUUGCCAAAGUAGGGGAGGUAACUCAGAUAAAGUGAUUUUUAUCAACGAAAGUGUUGUGAAUUCUCCUAAUUGAUAUGAAGCGAGAAAGCAAGUUCAGUGACCCAUUUUUCUUUUUCUUAUCUGAGAGAAUGUUUUAAGAGCUAUCUUCUCACAUUUUAUCUUUAAGUUCUAUCAAGAAGUUUUCUUUUUAUUACACAACAUUUGAUUUUCCAUGAAUAAUCUUUCAAAAAUCUGACAACUUUGAACAACCUGUAGCAUAAAAAGGGCCGAUGACCCAUACUUUUUAUUAUAUUUUUGAAAAAAAA
rnacentral:lncRNA from 1 species